GCCAGCAGCCAUAUCACCCUGCAACUCACAACUGGCAACCCACUGAAGCUAAGCAGGUGUGAGCCUGGUCAGUGAGCCUGGUCAGUACCUGGAUGGGAGACCUCCUGGGAAAAACUAAAGUUGCUGCUGGAA
rnacentral:rRNA from 1 species